AUGUCGAUCGGACACUUGGAAUUCUUUUAUGAUCAGUCACCUGAAAGCAUGAGGAGCACUGCUACUGCACUGUUUUGGACUUCAAUUUCAGUUGGGAACUACGUAAGCACGCUGCUGGUUUCUUUAGUGCACAAAUUCAGUGCUGGACCUGAUGGAUCAAAUUGGCUUCCGGAUAAUAACUUAAACAAGGGAAAGUUGGAGUAUUUUUACUGGUUGCUCACCGGAUUGCAGGUUGUUAAUCUUCUUUACUACAUCUGUUGCGCCAAGGUCUAUACUUACAAGCCGAUUCAAAUCCAUAGCAAAGACAGCGAACCUGAAAAAGAUGGAUUAGAGCUUGCAAGCACGGUUUAGUCUGCAUUUCCAGGGUCUAU
rnacentral:lncRNA from 1 species